ACGGGAGGCAGCAGUGGGGAAUAUUGGACAAUGGGCGGAAGCCUGAUCCAGCAACGCCGCGUGAGGGAUGACGGCCUUCGGGUUGUAAACCUCUUUCAGCACCGGCGAAGCGCCCGUGAGGGUGGUGACGGUAGGUGCAGAAGAAGGACCGGCCAACUACGUGCCAGCAGCCGCGGUAAUACGUAGGGUCCGAGCGUUGUCCGGAAUUAUUGGGCGUAAAGGGCUCGUAGGCGGUUUGUCGCGUCGGGAGUGAAAACACCGGGCUUAACUCGGUGCUUGCUUUCGAUACGGGCAGACUAGAGGUAUGCAGGGGAGAACGGAAUUCCUGGUGUAGCGGUGAAAUGCGCAGAUAUCAGGAGGAACACCGGUGGCGAAGGCGGUUCUCUGGGCAUGACCUGACGCUGAGGAGCGAAAGUGUGGGGAGCGAACAGGAUUAGAUACCCUGGUA
rnacentral:rRNA from 1 species